UAAGGAAUAUUGGUCAAUGGACGCAAGUCUGAACCAGCCAUGCCGCGUGAAGGAUGAAGGUCCUCUGGAUUGUAAACUUCUUUUAUCUGGGACGAAAACGGGAUUUUUAUCUCAAUUGACGGUACCAGAGGAAUAAGCACCGGCUAACUCCGUGCCAGCAGCCGCGGUAAUACGGAGGGUGCGAGCGUUAUCCGGAUUGACUGGGUUUAAAGGGUGCGUAGGUGGGCUUAUAAGUCAGUGGUGAAAUCUCCGAGCUUAACUUGGAAACUGCCGUUGAUACUAUAGGUCUUGAAUUAUCUGGAGGUAAGCGGAAUACGUCAUGUAGCGGUGAAAUGCUUAGAUAUGACAUAGAACACCAAUUGCGAAGGCAGCUUACUACAUAUAAAUUGACGCUGAGGCACGAAAGCGUGGGGAUCAAACA
rnacentral:rRNA from 1 species